UGCGAGUCGACGGUACGGGGAGGCUCUUCGGAGCGCCCACGACCGUGGCGUCCGGGUGCGUAACACGUAGCUAACCUACCGGUCGGUGGGGGAAAACUCCGGGAAACCGGAGGUAAUCCCGCAUAUGGUCGCCUGGUAGACAGGUAGACGAAAGCUGUGGCAGGGGAACCUGUCAUGGCGCCGGCUGAGGGGGCUGCGGCCGAUUAGCUAGUUGGUGGGGUAAUGGCUCACCAAGGCAGUGAUCGGUAGCGGGUCUGGGAGGAUGAUCCGCCACACGGGGACUGAGAUAUGGUCCCAAGCCCUACGGGGUUUAGCAUGGAGGAAUCUUGCGCAAUGGGCGAAAGCCUGACGCAGCGACGCCGCGUGGGGGAUGAAGGCCUUCGGGUUGUAAACCCCUUUUCUGGGGGACGCAAAUGACGGUACCCCAGGAAUAAGCCACGGCUAACAGGGUGCCAGCAGCCGCGGUAAUACCUUGGUGGCAAACGUUAUCCGGAAUCACUGGGCGUAAAGCGCUCGUAGGCGGCUUGGUAGGUGUUCGGUGAAAGCCCCCGGCUCACCCGGGGAGGGUCCGGGCAAACCACCAGGCUAGAGGCAGGCAGAGGACCGUGGAACGUCGGGGGAGUAGUGGAAUGCGUAGAUCCCGGGACGGAACACCAGAGGCGAAGGCGGCGGUCUGGGCCUGUCCUGACGCUGAGGGGCGAAAGCGCGGGGAGCAAACAGGAUUAGAUACCCUGGUAGUCCGCGCCGUAAACGAUGGACGCUA
rnacentral:rRNA from 1 species